rnacentral:rRNA from 1 species
CCAUGCAGUCGAGGGGCAGCAUUUCAGUUUGCUUGCAAACUGGAGAUGGCGACCGGCGCACGGGCUGAGUAACACGCUAUCCAACCUGCCGAUAACUCGGGGAUAGCCUUUCGAAAGAAAGAUUAAUACCCGAUGGUAUAAUCAGACCGCAUGGUCUUNUUAUUAAAGAAUUUCGGUUAUCGAUGGGGAUGCGUUCCAUUAGGCAGUUGGUGAGGUAACGGCUCACCAAACCUUCGAUGGAUAGGGGUUCUGAGAGGAAGGUCCCCCACAUUGGAACUGAGACACGGUCCAAACUCAUACGGGAGGCAGCAGUGAGGAAUAUUGGUCAAUGGGCGCAGGCCUGAACCAGCCAAGUAGCGUGAAGGAUGACUGCCCNUAUGGGUUGUAAACUUCUUUUAUAUGGGAAUAAAGUUUUNCCACGUGUGGAAUUUUGUAUGUACCCAUAUGAAUAAGGGAUCGGCUAACUCCGUGCCAGCAGCCGCGGUAAUACGGAGGAUCCGAGCGUUAUCCGGAUUUAUUGGGUUUAAAGGGAGCGUAGGUGGACAGUUAAGUCAGUUGUGAAAGUUUGCGGCUCAACCGUAAAAUUGCAGUUGAUACUGGCUGUCUUGAGUACAGUAGAGGUGGGCGGAAUUCGUGGUGUAGCGGUGAAAUGCUUAGAUAUCACGAAGAACUCCGAUUGCGAAGGCAGCUCACUGGACUGCAACUGACACUGAUGCUCGAAAGUGUGGGUAUCAAACAGGAUUAGAUACCCUGGUAGUCCACACAGUAAACGAUGAAUACUCGCUGUUUGCGAUAUACAGUAAGCGGCCAAGCGAAAGCAUUAAGUAUUCCACCUGGGGGAGUACGCCGGCAACGGUGAAACUCAAAGGAAUUGACGGGGGCCCGCACAAGCGGAGGAACAUGUGGUUUAAUUCGAUGAUACGCGAGGAACCUUACCCGGGCUUAAAUUGCAUUUGAAUAUUUUGGAAACAGGNUAGCCGCAAGGCAAAUGUGAAGGUGCUGCAUGGUUGUCGUCAGCUCGUGCCGUGAGGUGUCGGCUUAAGUGCCAUAACGAGCGCAACCCUUAUCUUUAGUUACUAAAAGGUCAUGCUGAGGACUCUAGAGAGACUGCCGUCGUAAGAUGUGAGGAAGGUGGGGAUGACGUCAAAUCAGCACGGCCCUUACGUCCGGGGCUACACACGUGUUACAAUGGGGGGUACAGAAGGCAGCUACCUGGUGACAGGAUGCUAAUCCCAAAAGCCUCUCUCAGUUCGGAUCGAAGUCUGCAACCCGACUUCGUGAAGCUGGAUUCGCUAGUAAUCGCGCAUCAGCCAUGGCGCGGUGAAUACGUUCCCGGGCCUUGUACACANCGNCCGUCAAGCCAUGAAAGCCGGGGGUACCUGAAGUACGUAACCGCAAGGAGCUCCUAGG